rnacentral:rRNA from 1 species
GUGUGGAGCAUGUGGUUUAAUUCGAUGCAACGCGAAGAACCUUUACCAAGGUUUGACAUGCCAGAAGUAGGAACUCGAAAGAGAGACCACCUGUAUCCAGUCAGGAAUUGGCACAGGUGCUGCAUGGCUGUCGUCAGCUCGUGCCGUGAGGUGUUAGGUUAAGUCCUGCAACGAGCGCAACCCUCGUCGCUAGUUAAUUUCACUAGCGAUACUGCCCGUAAAACGAGGAGGAAGGUGGGGAUGACGUCAAGUCAGCAUGGCCCUUACGCCUUGGGCUACACACACGCUACAAUGGGUGAUACAAUGGGAUGCCAAAGAGCAAUCUGGAGCUAAUCCCUAAAAAUCAUCCUCAGUUCGGAUUGUAGGCUGAAACUGCCUGCAUGAAGUUGGAGUUGCUAGUAACCGCAGGUCAGCACACUGCGGUGAAUACGUUCUCGGGCCUU